AACGAACGCUGGCGGCGCGCCUAAUACAUGCAAGUCGAGCGAGAAGACGUAGCAAUACGUUUGUAAAGCGGCGAACGGGUGAGGAAUACAUGGGUAACCUACCCUCGAGUGGGGAAGUAACUAGCCGAAAGGUUAGCUAAUACCGCGUACGCUCCUUGGACUUCGGUUCAGGGAGGAAAGCGAUACCGUGGGUAUCGCGCUCUUGGAUGGGCUCAUGUCCUAUCAGCUUGUUGGUGAGGUAACGGCUCACCAAGGCUUCGACGGGUAGCUGGUCUGAGAGGACGAUCAGCCACACUGGCACUGCGACACGGGCCAGACUCCUACGGGAGGCAGCAGUAAGGAAUAUUGCGCAAUGGGCGAAAGCCUGACGCAGCGACGCCGCGGUGGGGGAGUGAAGGUC
rnacentral:rRNA from 1 species